GACGAACGCUGGCGGCGUGCUUAACACAUGCAAGUCGAACGGAAAGGCCCAGCUUGCUGGGUACUCGAGUGGCGAACGGGUGAGUAACACGUGGGUGAUCUGCCCCUGACUUUGUGAUAAGCCUGGGAAACUGUGUCUAAUACCGGAUAUGACCUUACAUCGCAUGGUGUUUGGUGGAAAGCUUUUGCGGUUGGGGAUGGGCCCGCGGCCUAUCAGCUUGUUGGUGGGGUAAUGGCCUACCAAGGCGACGACGGGUAUCCGACCUGAGAGGGUGAUCGGCGACAAUGGGACUGAGAGACGGAGCAGAAGGCAACGGGAGGAAGCAGUGGGGAAUAUUGCACAAUGGGAGCAAGCCUGAUGAAGAGACGCCGCGUGAGGGAUGAAGGCCUUCGGGUUGUAAACAUAAUGAACAAGGGACGAAGAGUGAGUGACGGUACCUGGAGAAGAAGCACCGGCCAACUACGUG
rnacentral:rRNA from 1 species